AGAGUUUGAUCCUGGCUCAGGAUGAACGCUGGCGGCGUGCUUAACACAUGCAAGUCGAACGAGGUCCAUGGAGCUUGCUCCGGAAGACCUAGUGGCGAACGGGUGCGUAACACGUGAGAAACCUGCCCCGAUCUCUGGGAUAACAGUUGGAAACGACUGCUAAUACCGGAUGCCGUCACACCGCUUCAUGGCGGAGUGCCGAAAGAUUUAUCGGAUCGGGAGGGUCUCGCGGCCUAUCAGCUAGUUGGAGAGGUAACGGCUCACCAAGGCAUCGACGGGUAGCUGGUCUGAGAGGAUGAUCAGCCACACUGGGACUGAGACACGGCCCAGACUCCUACGGGAGGCAGCAGUGGGGAAUCUUGCACAAUGGGCGAAAGCCUGAUGCAGCAACGCCGCGUGCGGGAAGAAGGCCCUAGGGCUGUAAACCGCUUUCAGUAGGGAAGAAAAUGACGGUACCUACAGAAGAAGGUGCGGCCAACUACGUGCCAGCAGCCGCGGUGACACGUAGGCACCAAGCGUUAUCCGGAUUUAUUGGGCGUAAAGAGCUCGUAGGCGGUUUGGUAAGUCGGGUGUGAAAACUCUGGGCUCAACCCAGAGACGCCACCCGAUACUGCUAUGACUAGAGUACGGUAGGGGAGCGGGGAAUUCAUGGUGUAGCGGUGAAAUGCGCAGAUAUCAUGAGGAACACCAGCGGCGAAGGCGCCGCUCUGGGCCGUAACUGACGCUGNNNAGCGAAAGCAUGGGUAGCAAACAGGAUUAGAUACCCUGGUAGUCCAUGCCGUNNNCGUUGGGCACUNNNUGUGGGUCUCAACCAACG
rnacentral:rRNA from 1 species